rnacentral:tRNA from 1 species
UAGGAUGUGGUGUAAUGGUAGCACAAAGGGUUUUGAGUUCUUCGGUAUAGGUUCGAGUCCUGUUGUCCUAG